rnacentral:lncRNA from 1 species
GGAACUUGCGGAGAUGAUUCUCCAGGCUGCAUUAUAGAAGAGAGUCGUUCAACUUAAAAACACCUUUACUCAAAAAUGCUGUCCCACCUCCGUACUUCUUCCUCCAUGCCCUUGUUCUAGAGAAUAAUCCCUGGUGCCUUUUAGCAGCAGUACAGGUUGUUGUGCCGAAGAGUCAAUGACACAUCUCAGCAUUAUCUAUUAUAUUUUACCUUGUGUAGUUAGCUAAAGACUACUAUUUAGUUGAUAAUUUGAUGCCAUAGCUCUAUAGGAACAACCCCCCCCCCCCUCCUCCUCCUCCUCUCCCUUUCUCUCUCUCGUUGUACCCCCAUAUGGUGGGAGGCUAGAUGAAAAUCCUUAUCAGACGUUUUUUGGUAAAAAUCCAUUUGAACAAUUCUUGCGGAUUAAUACUAUAACCAAAGAUCUCCUGCCCAUGUGAAACCACUGCUUCAAGUAGACCGUCACCUGGCGGUCAAAUGUCACAGGCGUUUGUUCUCCAUCAUGCUGGCAGCUUGAGGGGUCUUAGUUUAUGUACGAAAGAUCGACAGCUUCAAACAUCUCACUCCUUCACAAUGCACUCGACGGUCAAUCCAAGGAUAUUUUCAACAUUCAGGGUGUGGUUUGAUCAAUGAACCAAUCUCUUCAAGAAUUUAGAAUUUGAAAAUUCUGAGUUCAAAUACCCCAUUUCCCCUGCCUUUGCUGAUUUUUUUUUCUCCAAAAGACCAAUCAAUCUCUCGAUUUUCCAAUUUACUCUUUUUCUAUUUUGACCUAUUUCAGCUUCUAAGGACUAGCAGACUUAAUUAGAACAAAAGAAUGGUUUGGUACUUCCUUUGAAUUCUUUUGACUACAAGUAGAAUUCGAAAUCCAAAGAAGGGUUUAGUCUUUUUUGGUAACCGGUUAGCCAAAGCUAGUGGUUCUUGGGUUUGUCGUACACGUAGGCCCUUUUCUUUUUGUCGUAAUUCAGGAGCGGAUUGUUGUCAUUUUCGCUAGAACUUGUCAAAUCAUGAAACGGAGAGCUUCUCUGUUAUAAAGAUAUUUUAUUUUAGUGGCGUUGAUUGUUAUUGUGGCUACCUCAAUUUUCUGUGGAGGAUUGUUGUGGUUUCUUCAAUUUUCUGAAACACAUUCCUGAUGAAUGACAUCUUUCACGUUAUGGUCACAAAAUGUACUCCACUAAAUUCGAAUUUUGAUUUUCUAUAAGAUCCUACCUUUGGAAAGUGCCACCAAACAUGUUGAAGUAGCUUUUUUAAAGAAAACUGAUUCUCCAUUGUGAUAUUUCCAGUUUUUGCAUUUUCUUCCGCCUUAAGAGUGUUACCAACAUGAGCAGUGCAACUGUGCAAAGGAACUUUGGGUUGAAAGGACUUGGGAAUUUUGAUAGUACAGUUAAACUACAGCGCCCUACUCUAAUGUGAAAAUAGCCAAAUACUAAUCGAACAGAAACCAGCAAGUUUACAAGCACAGUCCCACCACAUUUUUUUUUUGGUCCCACCACGUUAGUAAUUAACCAUAGGAUGAUUUUAAAACCUACCGAUAGCCAUCUUGGUUCAAAUUUCAUAUUCCUUGUCACCCAUCACCAAUUUGAGGAUCUCCAAUCAAUAUACCCCAGGAGAUCCAUUUUAUGAGUCAGAAGCACAUAACAGCAGUUGCAAUGCAAGGCAGGCAAAGGAAUCAGAAGAAGCAAAGUCAUGCCGAAUUGUCAAGAGCAUAUUGAAACCAAAGCUGCCACUGGAGGUUAAAGGAAAGAACAGGAACUAAAUUGUCAAUAUUAUGUCAUUUAGAAGUUAGUAAAACGUCGUCUCCGCUACACCAUACAUAAGAACACUUAAUGCAAGACCAAAUUCCAGUUUUCUGGACCACGUGCAAUUAAGUUUUACUUGUCAAACGUCAGAUAGCAGUUGCUCUAGUUGAAGAGGACCAAUUCUAGAGUCUAGACUACAGGUUCUUCGGCCUCCAGCUCUGUGCGAAAAAUACAUCUAAGCGAGAAUUUCAAAAAGAAAAUAAAGCUGGAAGACCAAAAAAUUACAUGCUUUAAAAGACUUAGAGCACGCUUACUUGUAGCUACCUAAAAGAAAAUGGGUCUCGCAUGCUUCAGACUGACUAGUCUUAGUAAAGAAACAGGAAUUCGACAUUACUUCACAUAAUAUUUAAACAUACUCUGUUGAUCACCAUGCGUACCACAAGUCAUCGGAAAUACCGGACAAAAGGGCCUAACAGAUAGAAGUAGGGGAUUAUCAUUUGAACCACACUUCUUUCUGUUCUCAAAGAAGCAGCUCCAGAAACACUUCCAUUCAAGGAAACAAAUAAAACUUUUUCUCACCCAUCCCUCAAAAACAAAAAAGUUGCAAGCAAAUUCUUGCAAGUAAUGUAAGGAAGCAUAUUGAGGAAGAAAUCUUUUGGCAAGUGUUGCAUUCUAUUAAAGCAAACUUUCAACAUCAGAUGUCCAUAAAGCAAGCUCCCAGCAAGGGAAUCAGAUGACUCCACAAUUAGCAUUAAAGUAAGUAGCAUCAACAAAAGACUAACUUGUGAAAAACAACUAAUACUAAUCCCAAAGAAGACUAACUUCUCAAAAGAACAAUCACCGGACAACAACAUAGGGGACUAACUUGCAAAAACUGACUUGUCAACAAAACAACCACCAGAAAAGAGCCACAUUCUAACGAAACAUAUGCAAGAAAUUAUGACCCAGUAGUUCAUCAACAGAUGCCCUGGAAUCCACAUCCCUAAUCAAACAUCGCUGAACAAAAUCCCGGAACUGUGAGGUAGAAUUGGGCAACUCAGGAACAACGAAGUCAUUAAUAAUCUCAUUGUAAGUCUGAAACUUAUCAAUGCAGGGAAAAGGGAAAUGUCCCAUAUAAAUUUCCAGCAAUAAGAUCCCCAAGCUCCAAACAUCACUCUUGUCGGGUCGGUCGGUUUUGCGCAGUUGAUGCUGCAACAUUUCGGGACUACAGUAUUGAAUAGUGCCGAGGACUGUCAAAAUGGAUUGCAUGUUGCCGAUGUCCAAUCUCCUGCUCGAACCAAAAUCUGCAAUCUUAACAUUGCCGUAGUUAUUUCUCAACACGUUCGCUGGCUUCAAGUCCCUGUGGAUGAUUCUCUCGUCCCGUAGAUAACUCAGACCCGUCAAUAUCUGUUGCGCAAUGUCUGCGAUCACAUUCUCGUCUUCAGUGUGAAAAUCUUUCAAAGAUCCAUCCAUCAGCUCAAACAUCAUUUGAAUCUCGGUUACGCUAGCCCAACCAGAAACCAAUUCCACAAGGUUAGGAUGAUGAAGUUGAGCUAGAGUUUCCAUCUCUCUCAAAAUCAACGAGCGUUGUUUCUCGCGUUCAUCCGUCAUACCGUCCGAAAUCCUUAUCCUUUUCCUCGCAUAUUCUUGACCGGUAUGUUUGUUCCUCACCCUAUCAACACUACCCGAAACGCCACUUCCCAUAUGUGAUAUAAACUCAUAAUCAGCGGGAUCGAACGCUUGCACGAGAGACGGCAUUUUCAUCACUUCGGGAGCAGUUGGCUGCGGGAUCUGAAGGCUGAGGCUCAUCCCCGAACGAGGGCGGUAGCGGGAACGAGCAUCGUCAGGAGGCGGACAGUUAGGAGGACCGUCAGCCAUUGAAAUUUGUACCUGUGAAGAAUUAGGGUUACAGGAAGCUGCAAAAUAAUUGAAGACUAAGGUAUGUUAAAAGUCUUUGUCCCCCCAAGUUAGGAUCCGUCCAUUGAACUAUCCCCUUUCAAUGAACCAAGGUAUGGAACUCAGAAGUGCUUAUCUGUGCCAGGAAUUAAUCAGUGCAUGACCAGUUCCUAAAACCAAAAUUUAAGCAGAAACCAAAUUAUAUCAAACAAAUCAUGAUUUGAGUGCAGAUUCUACUUGUUGAGCCCCAUAACAUGUGCAAAAUUAGAACCAAGACAGUAGAAGUUGGGGAAAUACUCUUUUAACUGGUCUUUGGUCCUAACUAUGAUAGUCACUAACAUGACAAUACAGUAAAAGUCAAAAACAAUCGAUGAAAUUAAUGUUUCUAGGUCUAUCAAAGUAUUAUUUCCAAUGGAAUUUAAAGAUAGUUCGAGCCAUUACAAGACAUUAAAGGAUCAUUCAGCAUACAAACACAAAGGCAAAAGUAAAAUCAUUUUUGUUUAGGACCAAACAGUAAGCUAAAGAUCAUCUCUCAAAUCAUCUAAUACUCCAUAACAAUGGGACACGUAAUUUUUCAGAAAACUAAACCAGUGUAGUGGUAAAGCUACCUUUAGAAGCAAAUCAUCAAACACAAAGCAUGCUACUAUUGUAAGAGAUGAUCACACACCUUAAACACUGGAUGUUUGCUGUGCUUCUUCUUGAUUCUUUAAAACUUACAAAACAAUCAAUAAUAAAAAAAGCAAACAGUUUUGCUAGGAGGUCAAUUUUUGGUCAAAAAAAGGCUAGAAAAACUCAACAAUAAAUUCAUCAAAUGGCUGAAAAUUGAUGCGAAAGUGUGAGUUUUUCUUUGUGUUUUUGGCUAGGAAGGCAAAUAGGGGUGGGGAGGGGAGAUGUAUAGUGCUUUCCCCUCUUUGAUUCUCUCCUUUUUCUGGGAAAAAAAAGAAUUGCAUGGUUGGGAGAUGAGAUAGGGUACAUAUAAGGUAUAUCAGAAGGCCAAGCAUAAAUUGGGGGGGAAAAUCACUAAUUUUUUGGCCAAUAAGAAUUUUUUUAAAAUAUACUUUAUUGAUAUUUCGAUGCCUUAAAAUACCACAUAAAACCAGUAAAGCGCGGCUAUAUCUUCUUAAGAAGCAUAAGCAAAAACUUAUCAUAAGAGUAAAUAGCCAAACAUAUAGGCACAUAACACUAAUAUUAAAAUAUUUAAAAUAUCAGCCCAUAUAAUAUUAACAAAAAUUUCAGCAAAUUAAUGAUACAAAUCAGAGGUAAACUAACCUGGAAUGAACAGAAAUUUUACUGCAAAACCUUUUCUAUUUUCAGACCAAAGCUGAAAAUUACAAAAAAAAAAUUACUUAUCAGUAUAUAUGUCCGUGGUGCAAAAAAAUAAAGAAAAAAAGAAUGGCAAGAAAUGUAUUUACCAGGAUGCAAGGGAACAAACGGCACCAAACCACUUGCGAGGAUUUUCCACUUUCCAAACAAAGCUGAAAAUACAAAAAAAAAAAAAACACUAAUUGUGUAGCAUUCGUGUCUCUGCUAUGCGAAGUAUCCAAAUGACUGCUUUGUAAGUUGCAAAUAUGUAGAACAAGAAUAUGCACCUUGCUUAGCUAUGUGACAAGUCAUGUGUACUCAAUUUCUAUAAAUCCACUCAAAUCUGCCCAUGUCACAUUUUACUUCUUUCCCCAACCGAAUUAGAACCAUUCUUUGCACAAUACACCCACCCAAGAACCACUUUAUUUCCUAUAUGUUACCUCUCUCUCUCUAUUAAAUGUUGGACAUUUGCUAGAUGCUUCUAGUUUAGUACCUGAAGGGUGUAAGUGGUACAAAGUGCUUGUGAUAAUAUCUUGUACAGGGGCCUUGGUCUUUUUCACCUCAAGUGUAGAAGUGCUUGUUACCAGAUUUAAUUUUCUUGUGCAUAGCGUUCCUGUGCUCAUCUCAAAUUGUGAUCUUUGUGUAAGUUUAGUAAUGGGAAAAGGUUACCUUAUUUUGAUUUCAGACCUCUAAGAAGCUGUGAGAUGAUCGUCUUAGUGUUUUCAAUUUUUUAUGCUGAGAUUAUGUGACAGAUGUUACAGACUUAAGAUAGUGGUUUUGGCAAGAGUAGAAUUAGGAAAAUUUUAUAUUAAAGUGCAAGGUUAGGAGUUUUUUGAGUUGUUUACAAGAAAAAUAGUACCACGUAACAACAAAUGCCAUCUUCCAUUUAGAGUGUAUAGUUUUUUUUUUAUUUCUCAGUCUAUUUUUGGCAAAUGGUGUAUUACUCGAAGAUAGUACUGCAGAUCUACAGAGGGCUUGGCAAACAUCUAAUAUGUACCUUUAUCGCAUUAUCUAUAGUUGUCUCUUUUCUGCUAGUUAAUACUAUUUGUACCUUUAUAGAAAAAAAUUGUGUAGUUCUUAUGUAAAUCCUGGAAACUACUUCCGAUUGCUAUAGGCAUUGGUUUAAAACCUAUAUUCCUCUGCAUUUUAGAUACAAAAUCUGCAAACUUUUUAUUGGUUUUGAAAAAUAUUUGCUAGUUAAAUGAACUAUUAUACAUCUGAGAUCUUCAAUGUUACAAUGAAAAUAUGUCAAUUUAGUAUUACUACCCAAUGACAUAUGCCACUAUGAGCUUUUUGGACGUGUACCAAGCUUGCUUCUUCUUCUUGAUAUUCAUGAACAAAUGUUUCUCUACACUGGUCUCUCUCUGCCAUUAUCCUGUAGACACUUUGUUUCCGUAAACACUCAUGUACAGGCAUGGUACUUUUACGUCAAUUUGUAACUCUUGCACCAACUCUUUCACAAGUACUCCUGCUCUGUUCUCAGUGCUGCAGAUUGGAGAUAUGCUGCUGAACAGUUUGUGAAAAGAGUUCCUGACAAAAUUAUUGUUCAUCGUAAGUUAAGCUUUUUCAAAAAUGAAAAAGGUUUAUUUUUUCUAUUUUUGAAUAAAUUCUUCAUGUUAUAAUAUCCUUGCUUAAACAGGUUUCAGAAGAUUUUGCGCUUUGUUUGAUGUUGCAAUUGGUUUUGAAAUGCUUAAAGUUGUUUCUGAACUUGGUUGAUUGGUUAUCCCACCCCCCCCUUUCCUUUGGUGAUAAUAAUAGUUGAUAUGUUAUUUUUUACUUGAGACGCAGAGAUUGGAGUUUUGGGGUUUACAUAAUAUACAGAUUGUGUUUCUAUUUGCUUUAGCCAAUAUCGUGUUUAGUAGUUAUCUAGUUCUCUUGUUGGUUUUGCUGAUAACAGAUGCUUUUCUUCUGUAAGGUCUUAAAAUUUUGUUUGACACUCAAUUUUCUUUAGGAAAAGUUUUGUUGUUCUCUUUCUUUUUCAUUCUGAGAAUUAUUGGAAUGUGUAGUGAUGUUUUUUCCGUUAGCUUUCCAUUUCAAGUUAUACUUAACUUUCUUUAGGAAAAGGUUAAUUAUUCUUUUUCUUUUGCAGUUUUUUCUGGAAUGUGCAUUGAUAUUUCUAUCUUCAUGGAAGAUGAUUAAAUUAUAGAGAAAUGUGAUUAUAUUGUAGCUUGAUGUAUACCAGGUAGUGAAUGCAAUACUUCAAAGCUGACUUUUGAUGGUGUUGAUUUGAUGGGGGAGAGAUUAGCUGAAGAGGUAUUUUGCUAAUUAGCAUUUAUCAUGCUUCCAUUUUUGUUGUAUUUCUGGUUACUGGAACUUAGUUUAGUAGAAAAAAGCUAUACUUUGACACCAUAAUAUCUAGAGACUGAUACACUUCUGUCCUUUAUAGUGCAGGUGGUCAAUGUUGUAAAAAAUUGGCCUGGCUUACACAAGAUCUCUUUUGUUGCCCACUCAUUGGGUGGCCUUAUUGCUAGAUAUGCCAUUGGAAGAUUAUUUGAACUUUCUGCUAGGAUUGGAAAUGCUGACCAAAAUGAGCCCUCUUCAGUAUUGGAAGCAAAUAAUUCUGCAAAACUCCAUGAACUAUGUUAUGAAGCAAGGAUUGCUGGACUGGAGCCUGUAAAUUUUAUAACAUUUGCAACUCCGCAUUUGGGUUCCAGAGGACAUAAGCAGGUUUCUUCUGUUUUGAUAUUGUUUCCUGUUGCAAGUAAAUUAACUUCCUUUUGUAGUAUGUUAUUGUGUAUAGCUGCUUUUCUUCUGUGGUUUUGUAUCAAUAUUCACCUAUUAGAAUUGAUGAGAAUGAAUAUGGCUCUUGGUCUCCUGAUAUGAUAAAAUCGCAAACAGGUUUGAGAUUAUGCGUAUCAAAUCAAAUUGUGGAUCUUAAAAUGAGGGUUCAAUUUACAUCCUGGUGGUAUCUGCAAAAUUUGCACGCUAGCACUUCCUCAAAGACUUUAUCAUUCAGACUGACUCAGAGUCCAUAUAUGUGCCUUAAAAACAAAUCUAAUGUGUUGCACUGUUGAAGCCUUUUCUUUGAUAUUUUUUUGUCUCUCUGCUUCAUCAGCUCCCACUACUUUGCGGUCUUCCUUUCUUAGAGAGAAGUGCAUCUCAAACUGCACACUGGAUUGCAGGGAGAUCUGGUAAGCAUUUGUUCCUAACUGAUAACGACAAUGGAAAGCCUCCUCUCCUCCUUCGGAUGGUUGAAGACUCGGAUGACCUCAAAUUCAUGUUUGUACUAAACUUCCAUAACCUGAUUCUUGAUAAGCAAUAGUGAAGGAAAAAAGAAGAUUAUCAUCAUGAUUUGAAUAACAUCAUUUAUGACUUAUACAGGUCAGCUUUGCAAGCUUUCAAGCGUCGUGUGGCAUACGCAAAUGCAAACUAUGAUCGUAUCCUUUGUUGGAUUAAUCCACACUUUGCAAGUCAGAUUUUUCCUUUUUAUACACAGAAGUUCCUUUUUAUACACACUUUGCGUCUUGUGGUCUACCUUUACUGAUCUUAAGAUAUUGUUGGCUGGAGAACAUCAUCAAUCAGACGCCAGGAUGAACUUCCAAAGGUGCUUCGCUGUCUCUUAAAUUGAUUUAUGUCUGUCGUACAUUUCAACUUCCAUCAACUGACUGAACUCUCUUUCUAUCUAGGCUAAACUUCUUCUGAAAAAUGAGAAGUACCCUCACAUUGUUCACGUUGAUCAAGGAAGCAUGGAAGCCAAUAAUAGCAGAUCAUUGUCCAUGGUCGGAACAGAAGUAAUUGAUUUGGAAGGUGCUUUGGCUUUCCUGUGACUGUACAUUGUUUUGCCAUUUUUACUCAUCCUUGAUGUCCACUUGUGCCAAUAUUCAAGUUCUCUUAUGUCACAGUUAUGAAGAAAGACAAAGUUUCCCAUGUUUUUGCUUUUGAGUGUAUACGCUCAAGGAUAGUUGCACAAGAAGAUCUGUAAUAUUGAAAUUUCAACUUUCUUCAAGCCUAAAAUGCAUUGCUGAUUCAACUAUGGGAUAGGUGGGAAUGAUCAAUAAAUUUGUUUCUCUUAGGAUACACUGGACAAUGUUUCUCUUACUGGAUUAAUAAACUUGUUCAUGUGGAGUAGUGAAAGAUUCCAAAUAUGUUCCUUGGGGUUCUUAUGAUAGAGGAGAGGAAAAGAGGGAGGAGCAAUGGGGUGGGAGCAAGAGUCCUACCAUCCUUGUUUGUUCAAAGAGGUGGGGAAGCAUGAAAAGUCUCAGAUUCUUAUGAUAGAGAACAACGGAAAAGAGGGAGGAGAGAUUGGAUAGGAACAAGGUAAUUUUAGAUGGGGAAGUGUGGAAAAGAGGGCGGUCAGAUUGAUAUGGUGAUGGUUUUUUUUCCCAUCCAUUGUUUUCAUUUUCCUUCCAUUUUUUCCCCCUUUUUUUUCAUUUUUUUUUCUUCAAAGAGCUAAGAGCUACAGGUGUUUGGUGUCACUUGGCUUCUUGAAAAUAAGCAUCCUUGUUUUGUGAAAGUUUUUAUUAAUGAGUAUAAACAUUGUUUGAAUACUAAAUAAUUAAUGGGAGAGGAUCACUUUGGUUGUAAGAUCAAUCUUCUAUCUUAUUAUCUUGGUCCUUUGAUGUCACCAGAAAUUAGAACACAAUUACAAUAAUUUAGGUUGGUAUGAUCAAAUAGAAUAUCUCAUUUAAGAGCAAUGAGUUAUAAAAUAUUUCCCAUCUUCUAGUAGAAGAAUUUGGUCAUAUUCCUUCUGUCUGCGUUAAUGGUGAUAUCAUAAAUACUUACUGAAGAAAUCCAUAUUCUGGAAACUUUCAUGUGCACCAUUCUUGUAGAAGGUAGAGUUCUGACAUUCUGUCUCUCACAGAAGCAAAGAACGAUGGCAUGAAUUUUUUGGUUUUGUCAAUUGUCGGGCAUAGACAGUGUUCUUUUCUAAAUAUGGCUAUGUUUUCUGUCACUUGCUGAGAUUUAUAAUGUAUCUUUAGGCUUAAAAGUAAAUUUGAAUUACUGAACCAUCUCUGUGGCCCCUUCUUUGUGAUGCUCUUGCAGCACUAUAAGUAGCAGUUUCUUAAAAAUAUAAAAGCAGAUAUACAUGUUACUUUUAAUGCUGUUCUCUAAUGAUGAUGUUGCAGGAAUAGUCACACAAGUUCAAAUCAAUACUAUAUGCAAACGGACUUUUGCUUCCCCUCCCCCUUUUGUCUGUAUAUAAUGGGUCAGUCCAUUGUGAUAAAUGUUGUAAAGUAAAUAGUAGAUCAUAUUGCUAAGAUGAUGUUGAAGAAAAUAAAACAUAAUCAUCCAAAUACAUGCUUGGUUUAGUUUUUUUCCCCACAACAAAUGACAGAUUGCUAACAUACUUUAGAUCGAACUAUAUUUAGUGUCUUUUUUGGGGUUGUGAAGAAAGAUUCUUGCUUGUGGAUUAAAUGUAUAUAAUAAUUAGUCAUAGUAGUGAGAAUGUUAUGCAUUAGAUGCUACUUAGCUUUUGGACAAGAAGUUUCUUUUUUAUUGUCGGUCCACCUUUAGUCUGACUAGCAGUUAAAGCUAAAGGAUUGGCAAUAAAGAUUGUCACCCUUUGUGUAUAUGUAUGCAUAAUAGUAUGUACAUUGUACAUAUAUAUAUGUUUUUAACAAGGCAUACACGUGCUUCCUUGUCUGCUUGUUAUCUGUUUCAUAUAUUUUAAGACAAAAAAUUUCAAUUCUGGAUCUGAUGCAAGCCUGCAUUUUGUGCACGCAGAGGAGAUGAUUAGAGGCCUCACUCAAGUACCUUGGGAACGUAUUGAUGUUAGCUUUCAGAAAAGCACACAGCGAUAUGUUGCACACAAUACCAUUCAGGCAAGCUUUUAAACUUGAUUGUUAUGGUAGUGGUAGUUAUGAUUGCCUUUUGUCAUAAGCUAGGAACAUUUGAUGUGGAUAAAGCACUAUAGCUUUUAAAAAUCAGAGGCUUGUAGAAGUAAAUAUGCAAUUAUCGCACUCAGAGUUUUACUAAAUCAUCAUCAUGUUAUCCUGUUCUUGGAGUUGUACUUACAGAAAUAUUCCAAUAAUUGAUAUCAACCUAACUUGGACAUGGAAGUGUUGUAUACUGUCAACAAGAAUCACUUGAAUAAUUUAGGAAUGACAAAGCAUAAAAAAACACGUUGCUGUCUAUCAAUGACAAGGUGAAACAGUCUGUUGCCAUAGGACUCUGAUAUAGUAUGACUGUUUUCCAUAUCAUUUGGGGAUUAGCAUGCCCGAUAACUUUUUAGAGUAAAAGCAUGAGAAUGCGUCUACAGGCCUAUGGCAUAGGCUGUUUGUCAAGAUCACUUAGUUGUUUCUUCUGGCUAAUGACUUGAGCUGGAUUUGGCUCAGUAGUUUCUUGCGCUUAUAUCUUGGAAUGGUUCAAAUUUGGGUCACUCGAAUAUGUAGUUCGUUUUAAGCCCAAUGCAUUUCUUGCUUCUUUCUUCCAGCUAUUGAGUAAAAACUUCUAAAAGGAUGAAAGCUGUAAGUCAGAGGCAAAAGUUAGAUUUGGUUUGUUAUAUAGGUAAGGUUUGUAUUAUUUCCAGGAGGUGUUGGCUGACAAUUGAUGCUGGCAUGUGUUUUUUUUUCUCUUUCUUGGCUUUGAUCAAAUGACAUUUUUACCACUCUAAUGCAGGUCAACCGGUAUUGGUUGAACUCGGAUGGGGCUGAUGUGGUUCAGCAUAUGAUAGAUAACUUCAUUGUCUAAACAAUUGACUCCUGGAUACUUCUUUUCCGUGUACAUUGAAGCCUUGCAAGUGUUUAUUCAAGUGAUGGGUUAGGUUGCUUAUCUCUGUUCGAUCGGCCGCAUUUUUACAUGCCCUCAGUCUGUUUUGUACAUAUUGUCUUGGACUGUGAAAUGUGGUUAAUUAGCAUCUCGGUCGUACAUUCGAUGCUCAGUCCUGGCUGCUGUUCGUGAACAAUUUUGCAUCUUCUCAUUAAGGCCUAAGUUGCAGCUGAAAUAGAAGAUCUUCGCCUGGAGCCUUAAGGUUCUAGACAGAAGGGUAGAGUGUGGAGAGUUACUUUUCACUAGAUAUACAUGUGGUUAGCAGGCUGGGAAGCAUACAACUAGUCCCUUGUCCAGCUAAAUAGAAGAGAAGGGAGAAAAAAUGCAUGACGCCACAAGAAAUUUUUAAUUACAGAACUAUUGAAUUAGCGGCUGAGCAUCUUUGGAUGGUCAUUUUCGCUGCUAAAAGGAUGUGUGGACAAUUAUUUCCUCCAUCCGCCACAAGAACUAUUGCAAUUAGCAGCCGAGCAUCUUCGGAUGAUCAUUUUCGCUGCUAAAAAGGAUGUGUGGAAAAUUAUUUCCUCUUAACUCAUAUCUCAUUACUUGUGGUAUUGCAUGAGCGUCCCUGUAUUUAUAUAACCUAAAUAUUGACUUGGUAUGGAAGAGCUUCUUUUUUGACUGCUCUUUGUUUACAGAUGUCUCUUGUUUUCACCCAUUUGGUGGUUGUAGAGCUGCUAAUUGGCGUACUAGGCCACCGGUAAGAUUUGUAAAAGGACUUUGGAAAACCCUUUCUUUUUUUCUUCCAUAACUAGGAGUUCUGCAUAUUUCUAUGAGCUGCUACAGAAAGCUCUGCUGGGGCCUUCCAUCGUUUCCUGAUUUGAAGUUGCUAGUCCUACAUCAGUGCUAAGUUUUACAAGAAGUACACUAUUUAUUUUCUCUGCAUCCAAACAAAGGGAUUUCAUUCUGUAUUUAAGCCGUGCGCUUCCAUGGUAACAAGGAAAAGGAAAAAUCAGUUGAUUCUGUGUUUGAAUAUCCAUUAUUACAAGUCAAGGUAUUGAACCAUCAAAACUUUUUGAAGUUUAUCAUUACGAUGAUAUUUGCACCCAACUUGCUGUUCUACCAGUUUUUGUCUUUCUGAAAGAAGUUUGUUCUCUUUCCGCCGAUAUUAACAGAUACCUAGAGAGAUUGGCAAAUGAUAUUAGCACUUCAAAAAAAAAAAAAAUCCUCUUGCACUCCAUUCCUUUUUUAUGCGCUUAAAGGGAGAGGGAUGGAGUGCAAUAAAUUUUUCUAAAAACGUCAAUAAACAUAUAAAGUUCGACAGUUCUCACGCUCGUGUUUAUUACGUUCACUUACCAAAUAUUUUUUUCUUUUAAAUAGGAAUCGAAUUUCACACUACUUGAUAAAAAAAAAAAAACUUUAUAUGUAGUUUACCUAACAAAUUUUAUUGAUAUUUGUCGAACGAUGAAUCAGGGCUGGCAAUAGCCCUUAAGAUAGCCAAAGCUGCGUGGUUACACCGUCUGCAUCAGUUGAUGGUGCAACGUAUUUCUGAUUAGAGAGGAGAAAAUGGUUUCCGGUUGAGCCCAGCCUGUGGUGUAAGAGGUGUAGGUAAUGAUGCGUCAUUAACAAAUCCAAUUUCGACUAAGAUGCAUUUUAUCGGCUUAAACUAUACCUAGGUAUCGUUUUGUACCUCAGAUGUAACUGUAUAAAAUUGCUCCCUCAUCAAAUAACUCUUAAAUGGUUUGGUUGCAAAUAGUUAUUAUUUUGACCGAAUUCACAAAUGCCGGGCACAAUAUUAAUUGACUAAUGCUGAUUUCUUGGACCAAAUAUAGAAGCAUGGGGAAAAAUAAUUUAUUCCUUCUCCAUUGGCUUCGAUACAUUAGCAACGUCAGAAUCUAUCUGUAUAGAGUUCAGAGUUGAAGGAAGAAGAUGUAUUGCUUUCUGCAUAAAAUGUCAUGGUAGCCACUUAGGCCUCUCCUUAUUGUUUAGGGAUUUCCACAACUUCAAACAUUUUCAACCAAGCUGGUGAUUGAAGUUCUGUUUACCAUUUGAAUUAGUUGUGGAUACAGGAUCUUCAGUAAUCGUGUUAAGAUGAUCUUGAGCAGGCACUUGAUGCUGAGUCACUUCAGAUGGCAUGUCUAGCUCUUCUGCCAGCAGACUUGAUAAACUUUUGCAGAACUGGUAAAGCAUGAUUAGAUUACUAGAAUAAGUAAUCUAUCUGGAUAUCAAAUGGUUUUAAGUUUAGGUCUCAACAUACACAGGAGCGUAAUACUACUACCUCUUUGUACAAUCCCAGCUCCCCUGUUGAUUUUGAUACUUGUACAACACAAUGUUGAGGGGCCACCUCGAUAACCUAACAUUUGAAAUAACACAAUUUAUGAAAUCCUCAACAUGAUCCCUGUACACGAAGCAUAGCAUGAGAAUUUACCUGGGCUGAUAGGUCAAGACAGGAUCUUGAACAUCUAGUCAUCUUCCGCGGGUGCAUUUUCAUCUGAAAUUAUUUAUAAAGGACUCGUGUUCACUUGAAAUGCAUGAAACAUUCUCUUGAAAGGUCUAGAUUUUACCUUCGAGUGGUUCAUCAUUUCAACUGCCAGAUGCACAUCCUUUGCAGCAGCCUCAAUUUUCUCUAUGGUUGCAUUGACUGUGUGUCUAGAUCCUAUUGUUUUUUUCUCCUUUUCAUUUCCCUAUUAUGCAACAGAAACGUCUGUGACUUUUUCAAUGGAGGGGGAAGCAUUCAUAGGAUGAGCCAGCUUGAGUUUUGACGUGUACUUGCCUUUUCUUCGAAGAGUCUUGACAAAUCUAGGUCAUUUGACAUUGCUAUAAGCUGGAAAGCAUUUAUGAAACUCGAGGCACGGGGGACACUCACUUCUGUCUCAGUUUCCUAUACCAAAAUCAAUUGAUUUAGCAAUGGCUCAUCACUUUCUUGUUCUCAGUGUUGCUAUAUUUGUUUAGCCAUUACCUUGAGUGAAGUGAAUGCAUCAUGAACAUCAUCCACAUUGAAAUCCUCUUCCUGCCCUAUUUCCUCAGCUGGCUCAUAGUCCAUCUGAAACCAGUGAUGGUCAAUGAUUUCUGCUAUAGUUAUUCGCUGCAAAUCAAGAAAAGAAUUACCUUUGUUCCUCAUAUUCUUGGCCUAAAUUUUUAUCCUGCUAUUUUGAAACUUACAGUUUUUGGGUUUGGAUCGAGCAAUCUAGAAAUGAGCUGUUUUUCACCUUCUGUGAACCGCUCUGGAAAUGCAAAUUCUGCUUUAUAUAUCUGCACUGCCAGCCAAAGGUAGUUACUCUGUGAAGUUCUACUUGGCCUGUGGUUUCUGUUGCAAAAUUUGGAAGUCAUCAUACCUUUCUGUACAAGUUUGUCAGGUUAGAGUCGUCAAAGGGUAAAUAUCCAGCCCGCAGUUCAAAAAGUAUUACUCCACAGGACCAAACGUCUGCAGCUGCUCCAUCAUAGCCGUUAUCAGUUAAAAGCUGUUCAUCAAAGACAAAGUGUUUGUCACAGGUGAAGGGAACUUUACCUCCACCCCAUCAGGAAAAUAUUCCCGGCUUUUUCACACAAAUUUUUGACGUCCGUUUUAGGUACACCUUUUAGUUUCAGAUUUUCACCCUUGGAAAGAACAGAAAAUGUCAUAGCAAAUUCUUCAACCGGAAAGAAAAAAGUAACACUUGCCUCUGGUGCUACAUAGCUUGGAGAUCCGCAUGCAGUAGAGAGUAGGCUUCCUGGUUUCUGAAGUAGAGGAUCAGCUAACCGUCAGUUAAAUCUUAAAAAAGGCUAGGGCAAAGGAUAAUAUGGAGAGGUCACUUUAGACAAAAGGCUCCUACCUGUUUUAGUGCACUAAGGCCAAAAUCAGACACUUUCACAUUUCCUUUGUUGUCCAGAAGCAAGUUUUCUGGCUGCAAGUAAAGAAUAUGCAAGAUUACAUGUAUCUGCAUUUUAGUAUCUUGACUAGAAAUCAGAAAAGGAUGUGAGAAGUAAUCCAUGCUAACCUUUAGAUCUCUGUGAUACACCCCUCUACAGUGGCAAUGAUCUACAGCAUCAAUUAGCUGCUGGAAGUAUUUUCUUGCUUCUCUUUCACUUAACUUCUUCAAAUAAGACUGAGAUAAGAAAUGGCAUGGACUUUAGUCUUGAAUGACUCGUUUCCAUGGAUAGUAAUUACUGCCACUAGGUAAAAUGUGGUCUUUUUGAAGCUUACCAGCUUAUCAGAAAGCUGUCCCCCUGACACAUACUCCAUAACAAUGUAAAUUUUGGUUUUUGUGCCUAGUACCUGAAAUUAGAGGUCAACCACUGGUAAUGAAUGGAUAAUUGAUUAGCAUCCCAUGAUUGAUUCAAAAGAACAAACCUCGUAAAUUCUAACUAUAUUGGGGUGAUGUAGAAGUUUCAUCGUCCUGAUUUCUCUUGACACCUAAAUGAAAAUUUUAGACUUAGAGAUAAAACAAAAUUGCAAAAUAGAGAAAGCUCAAAAACAGUAAACUAAAGAUAGACAAACAUAGUUGAUGUGCUGGUAAAAUUACCUGUUGCAUCAAGUUAUUUUUCAAGACCAUUUGCUUGUCAAUGAUUUUGAUUGCUACAUAUUGUCCAGUGGUUGUGUUUAUGGCCAAUUUCACCUUGGCAAAGGAGCCUUCUCCAAUUGUUCUGCUAAGCUGAUACUUGCCAAUCUUGUCGGAGAAUCCCAUUCUUCAUAAGGAGAAAAACCAAUGCCUAUCCCUCAAGAUAUUUAUUUCCAAAAAAAGGCUGCAGCUUCUUUUCCCUGAACUCCCUGGAAAUGUUUGAUUGUCCCCGUGUGAAGCACCUGCACUUCUAGUCUUUCCAUGUAUUCUGAGAUUGAUUGAUUAAAGCCCCGUUCUUGUGGCUCUGGCAGUUUUAAAGAAGAGGGCCACAAUUUUUUAUGUUGAAUAUUUGUUCUUAAAAAAAUUUAAUCAAAUUUGAACUCUGUCUCCUUUGUGCAUGACGCAAAGAAGGGAGGAUUGACCUGCAUGCUGGCUGGCUAGUUGUUGAAUGAGAGAGAUGGGAGUUUGAAUGGAAGGUGAAAUGAGUUUGUGAUUCCAAAUUUGUACUUUUCCGUCAAACUAACCCUCUGGUUGCCGGUGGGAGUAACUUUGUGGGAAACAAGCCUGGUAAACCAAUAAACCAGAAGCAACAUCUGACAAACUUCCAAGCCUAAUGGAUCAGAGACCACCUGCACCAUGUCAACGCAUGAUUGGUUUCUCGUCUGUUUUUUUUUUUCUUUUAAACUUUCAACAGUCAAAUUGAAAGCCCAGAAAUUUCAACCUAACUCUGUAUACUUGUUUUAAUUCUGCCAGUCCUUCAGAGAUUAGAGAAGGUUAGGUGAAAGUACUAAUUUCCUCCUACUCCAAUAGCACGUUAUUGGCACCGACAGUGCUUUGGGCUGAUGAUCAACAUCAACGACAACUUAAGUCUCGAUGGAGCGGGAGGGCAAGAGUUUAACUCUUGCCUCCUAUCAAUUUGUCAUUAUAUAAUCUAUAUGUAACUGUUACGGAUUAAUGACUUUUUCCGAUGGUGAUUUAACUCGCGCUAAUCCGAAGCAGGGGUCCUUACUGAGUUGAGCAUCUCUCUGGGGCUAGGCCUCUCUACUUCGUUUUCCACAUUAUCCUGCUUUUCGGCUGGGGCAACAUUGAAAAACGUUCCACUUAAAAUCAUCUAGUCAUUCUUGAAAUCCAAGAGCCCAGGACAAAGUUUCUUUGGAUUUGAGGCUUUUACAAUUGUCGUCCCAGUUAUAUGAAACAAUACGUAAACACCAAUAUGGCAAAUAUAAUAAUAUGAAAAACUCUACAAGUUUUGACAUCCCUUGAAAUGUGUGUCACAAAUUCACAAUCUAUCUUAUUUACUCAAUUAAAAUCAGUCACUGCUAUUUAUUAGCUGUAGGAUCCAAUAAGAAAAAUAUGACUGCAGAAAAUCCACAUCCAUUUCCUUCUUGAUGUUGCCAUUCUAUCGAGUCCCGAGCCCCCACACAGCAAACAAGCUGCUGCGUUUGAAAUUUUUUUUCCCCUUCUUCUCUUGGGGUGGUGGUAGAUUGAUGCUGGACGCAGACUCUGCGAAUUAGUAUGCCAUAAAUCCAACUUAUCUUUGCUUCUGGGGACCCCCAAAAAAUAAGAAAAAAAAAAAAAAAGAUUGUAUGGAUGCUCAUGAUCAGCAAAAUUGGAAAUAGCAACUAUUCAACAACAACAACAACAACAUAUACAAUAGCCAUCAAUUAAUUGCUUCCAGUCCUAGUCUUGAAUGUUUGUUGAGUGUCAAAUUCUUAAAUCACUGGAUAAACAUGUAAUAAAGGGCCUUUUUGUUUUUGAUUACCAACUCUUAGUUUGAGAAGUAGUCAAUAUGACCAGAGAACGCUGGUCCUUUUUUGAUACUCUCUAGUAGAGUAGAGAAAUGGGUAGGUCAAUUUUUCACAUAUUUCAUCUUUUUUUUUUUUUUUUUUUUUUUUGAUAAAAUGAAGUUGGUCUUUCCUAAAGAACCUAAAGUAAAAGAUGUUAAAAAGAGAUAAGAACAUAUAAAACAUUUGACUUGGAUAAACGCAUACGUUUUUUACUAGAACACUUUCAAGUAAUAAUAACUCUAAACACGUAUGUGUUUAGGUAGUGAGUUUGAAUAUCCAGAACUUAAGAAACUAUUACUGAUUUGAAGAGUUGAAUUUAUAAUCGUCCACAUUAUCAAAGCGUCAUGUGGUUUGAUUUUUCUUACCAUUUCCUCGGUUUUGCUUGUUGAAAUUUUCUUUAUAGCCAUCAUAUGUACAUGUGUCAUUGGUAUUUAUCAAAGAAUUAAAUCAAUAAAUAAAUAAACAAGAGGUACAUGAAUGAUCAAACAUUUCUAACAUGAUUACUAGAAUUUUACCGGUGCCUUAACAUGGUCUCUUUUUUUUAUUUAUUUAUUGUGCAUUUAUAGGAAUAUGAAUAAUUUAAAUAUAAAAAUUAACACAGUUCUACAUGUUCAUUCAUAUUAAUUUUAAAAAAAUUAAUGUAUUUUAAAUGUUCAAUUAUUUACUAAUUUUUAAAAAUUUGUUUACAUACUUUCACUAUAAUACGAUAGUAUACAUCAAAUAAUGUAGCCCAUAUCCAAACUUGGUAGAUAUUAUUUUCUAUAAAUACUCUUUUAGAUAAUUUAAAUUUUUAUAAUGACCAUAAAUCUAAAAUUAUAUAUUUAUACUUAAUUAAGUAGAAAAAGAUCCAUUAAUCCAUUUUUAUUCAUCAAUAAAUAUUUGAUUUUCAAUAAUAUUAGUAAAUCUAUCAGUGUAACAGUUAAUUCUCUUUUUUACACUAAGUUAACUCAAAAUUAAGAAGAGAUAAUGAACAAUUUGAAUACUAAUCAAUGAUAUGGUGGUGAAAGGAAGUAAGUCAUGGGAUAUGUAAGAUUUCAAUAAUUGUGAUUUAAAAAGUUUUUACUAUACUUUUAUGUAAUAAUUUGAUAGAAAGCAGAUACCAUUAAGACAAGAUUAGUUAUUUUUUAAAGUUAUUUUAAAAUUAAAAAUAAUUUUUAAACAUAUAAUAUAAUCGUUGUAAUAAUUUGAUAGAAAGCAGAUAUCGUUAAGAUAAGAUUAGUUAUUUUUUAAAAUUAUUUUAAAAUUAAAGAUAAUUUUUAAACACAUAAUAUAAUUCAAAUAAUAUUUAAUAUAGGUAAAAUUGAAAUGAUCUAUAACUCAUUAAUUCUCAGAAUUAGACAUUGCUAGGCCUAGGAGUGAGAAACUACAGAUUCCAUCUGAACUUCCAAAGACUUGCAUAAAACUCAGAGAUGGGCUUCUUCCAAAUUGACCACAAGCAGCCAUCAUCACAACGUGGGACUUGAUAGGUCCACAUCUUGGGCUUCUCAAACUGGAAACAGACUUUCACACACAGUUUUUGUAGGGUGUACAAUUAAAUUAAUGCACAGACGUCAUAUUGAACACGAUCGAAAAAUUAAAUGGGUCAACUUUUUUUUACCCAAACACGAUUUGCUAAUUUCAGAAAUUAUCUGAAUACGAUUUGAAUAACUUGUUUGCUUAAUUUUCUUUUUUUUUUUCUUCUCACAUUGGUAGUAUGAUGGAUUUUUCUAUAAUGAUGUUUCCAUAAGAAUAUAGAAAGUUGCAGUCCAAUCCUACAUCUCGUGUAUGGUGCUGGUAAUAAUUUUUUGGUUUUCCUUUUUAUACAGAAAAGGUUAUGAACAAAAACAAAACUAUGACACUUCAUAAAUAAAAUAUCUUAUGUUUGCAUAAUAUUCAUGAUUCCAUUUUCAUAAUAUUAAUUUAUAGGCUUGGUUAGUUUUCUUUUUUAUUUACUUUAUACCUCCAAAUUUUAUUUAUUAAAUUAUAAACUUACACAUUAAAUGGGUUAGAUGGGUCAAACAAGUUAACCCUAAUUUGAUCUGAUUUGGACCUAUUUAUUUGGUAGGUUAUUGAGGUCUGACAUGAUUUUGACUCGAAAUCUUGAAGAGUAAAUCUAAACUCUCUAAUUUCAUAUUAGAUUUGAAUCGUGUUUUUUUGGGUCGUGUUAAGAAUUGUCAUCCUUACUCUUAUCUUUGAGUCUCACCUGAAUAACUUGAGUCGUAAAAUGAUUUAAACAGGCUUGUAUCACUCACUAAUUAAUCACAGCUAAACAUAGAUUGUAGUUUUCUAUAAAAAAAAAUUCACAUUUUUUGCAAACAUAUUUACUUCACAUGCAUGGAAUUGUUAUAGUAUAUAUUUUUUAAUAAAACUUCGAAAAAUAAAAGCUUUGUUUGGAUUGCAUUUUUCUGAAUUUUUUAUACAAAAAUUAUUAUAGCGAUUUGAUAUAUAUAUGAAGUAAAAAGGUAAUUAAAAAAUGCAUCUACGAAAAAUGUAUUUUUUUUUUUUAAAUUGCAAUCCAAAACACAUCCAAAAAUUCAAACGGGACCAGAUCAUAUACUAAUUAGAAACCCCAACCCAAAUGUUAAGGGCAUGUCAGGAAACAAAAAGUGAAGGAAGGUAGCGAGACCUCAACUAGUAGUUGUGGUGGGCUAAAUCAUAUCUAUUGGAGUUUCUUGAAGCUCAAGACGAAGGCAAAUUUUCUAGCUCGAAGGAAUUGAUUAGGCAAUGGCAUCCCUCUAGAGCAAGGCCUUUUAAAGAUCAACGUUGAUGCAGCAUGGACUCCAGAGGAAGCGGGAAUUGGUGUUUGUCCGAGAUAAUGAAGGACAAAUCAUGACGGCCUUCGCGAGAAGAAUCCGUAAAACUACUUUUAUAUCUGCUGAAUUUUCUGAAAUUCUUGCUGUCAUUUAACAGCUAGUUUGGGAGGAUGGAAAUGAAAAGAAAAGAAAGGUUUUGAAGGGAUACGAAAGUUUUUCCAUUGUUUGGGAGUAAAAAUGAGAAGGAAAAGAAAAGAAUAGGAAAGAUUCCACCCCCCUCCAUCUUUUAGAAAACUUUCUGCCUAAUUUUGGGCGGAAACGGAAGGAACGGACGAAAGUUUAAGUAAAUUUUUUAAUAUGACAAAAUUACCCUUAAAAUUCUGGUACAAAAUAUUUUAAUAUCUGAUGAAUUCCUCCACUGCAAAACCCUCGAUAGAACAUCUCCUUUCACUUUAUUAGCCAUCAUAUUCUUCCUCUAAGAAAUAGGUGGCCAUUUGCAUCCUUCCAUAUCUUCGAUGGGCUUCUAAUAAGGGGUAUCUCUAUUUCAUUGUUAUUUUCUAUGGCCAAAUAUACAUUAAUAUGUUUAUUUCAUAUUUGUUUAUAGAAAGGGUAUAUUUGUAAAAUAAUUUAUUUGAGUAUCUUUUUCUUUCCUUUGCAUUCAACUCCCAAACAAAAGAAAAUUAUCCACUUUCUUUUCUUUUUUAAAACUCCCAAUAAUUUAGAUUGAAACUUUGAUCCUUCCUUUUCUUUUCUAACCUAUUAUUUCUCUUCUUCUCUUUUCUAUUCUAAACUCCCAAACUAGCUGAUAAGGGUUUGGAAUGGGCUAAGGAAGUUGGAAUUGGUGGCAUGACUUUUGUAGAGCGACUCUGUUGAUGUGAUUCAAAAGUUGAAUAGUGAAGAAGUCGGAUUUCUCUAAUUUGGGCAACCUUUUGGAUAAGGCCCGAAUGUUGUACCGUAACUUUCAAUACUGUAAACUUUCCCAUACGUGUAGGACUGGAAAUAUACCAACUUAUAUUCCAGCAAAAUCCCUCCAUCUUUAGUUAAUUAAAGCUGUAAUUGAAGAUUGAAAUGUUCUGUUUUCUUCCACGAAAAAAAAUCUGCCAGCUGCAUGUUUGCCACGUAUGAUAAAAAAUCCCAUCUUGAUAGGAGUAAUAUCCUUAUCUAUAAUCAGGCUUUAUUAGUAUAUAUAAUUACCUGAUUUUAUCCUGAUUAGACGCCUAUAUCCCAUUUUAAAUUUCACUUUUUAAAGGAUUUAGUGAUCCGUAGACUAUCCAAAUUCCAAAGAAACGUACGUCACCUUAAAAACACCUCGCUCCUUCAAAAAAAGAAAAUACACCCCACCUAGUCUCUCUCUGCCCAGAAAUCUUGUCCUUGCUCUGUUGAACUCUCAGUCUUUCUUCAUUGACAUCCCUGAGUAAGUGAUUUCUCUCUCCAUUACUUUUUAUUUUUAUUUUUAUUGUACUAGUUUUUUUGGCUGAACUGAUUAGCAAUUUUUAAAUGGGGAGAAGUAAAAAGGGCCUGCAAAUAAUCCCAGAAAUGAUUGAUCUUUUGAGGACUGUUCAUUUAAGGAAGUCUUUUACAAUUGUUUCAGCUUAUUAGCAAUUUCUAUUCGAAUAGAGGGAAUAAGGGACUGAAUUUAAUGAUAAAAAGAUUAAUCUUUUGUCGUUUUGAUCAUUGUUGAAUGAUCAUAUGAGGCAGGGGAAGUAGGAAUUUUCUUGGGGUUUUUCAACUCGGUGUAAAGCACUUAUCUUGUCAAUUUGUUGAUGAUAGAAUCGAAAGUUUGGCUUAUCCUGCUUCAUUUGUCACUGGAUUUUGUUGGAAGGCUUUUAAUGCAUAGGCGGCUAAAAAAGGCUCCAUAUUGCAAUUGAAUUAUAAUUUGCUUAAUGACGUUUGUUCCUUCACAUUCUUAGUUUUUCACUGAUAGGAUAAAGUAAACAUAUUUUUUAGGGGUAUUAUUUUUUUUAAUCUAUUUUAUCAGAAUUUUAGUGGAAGGAGGCCUUAUUUAUGUCUCGUUACAUUUUUCCCCUUAUUUGUUUUUGUUUUUUUCUUGAUUUAAUGAAAGCAGUUUAUUUUAGCGUGUAAAGUUGUUAUUAGAUGGAGUUGCUUUAUGAAUGCAGCCUUUGGAAUAUGAAAUUAAUUUCCUGUUAUUUUUUCUUUUUUGGUGUAUUAUCGUUCUUUAUCUAAUAAAUUGAUGCCAUUUUCAGUUAAUUGAUACAGGUUGCAGAGUUUUGCAUGCGAUCAUCACAAUGAAGGCCUGGAAAAUCUUAUCGCUGUGCCUUUGUUUGAGUUUAGUCUUGAACGUUGUGGUAAACAUGAUUUUGCUCUGCCAACAAUUUGUAUAGCGUACAUAUAGUAGGAGCAUAUUGCAGCUUAAUGGUUUUUAUUGGGUUGCACGUCCUUGAUUAUAGUAGUCUGGGAUAUGGUGAAGCUGUAUGUUUAUUCAUCAUCUGAUUGAACACGGAUGCAGAUUGCUGUGGGCCCGCCAACUUGUCCUGCAGAUGUUGGUAGUGGGUGUGCUAGUGAUUCAGAUGAAUGGCAAGGAGAAUUCUUUCCAGGCAUUCCUAAGAUUAAAUAUGAGGUAAGGUAGGAAAAAUGAAGGUUCUUGAUUGAUGAAAGUUGCAUAGACUUUAAACCAUAUGAAUACGCUGUACUUAGGAGUAGUUUCAAAAUACAUCUACACCGGAAUUCGAUGGUUUGGAGGAACUUGUCUUAUGCAUUCACUUCUUUCUGUAGGGUCCUAAGAGCAAGAACCCACUUGCAUACAAAUGGUACAAUGCAGAUGAGGAGAUUCUUGGAAAAAAGAUGAAGGUUAGUUUUCAGAAACUUUUUACCAUUUUCUGAAUUCGAAUUCCCACGUAUAUUUACCCUAACCCAGCCUCCAACUCCCCCCAACCAAAAAAUGUCAUUUCAAGUUGCUUAGUAACGGCAUCCAUGAACUCACUAUUUGCAUCUAGGAUUGGAUGAGAUUCAGUGUUGCAUUUUGGCAUACAUUUCGUGGGACUGGAGCUGACCCAUUUGGUGCACCUACAAAACUUUGGCCGUGGGAGGACGGUACCAAUUCCUUGGCCAUGGCUAAGAGAAGAAGUAAGAUAAACAAUUUGUUACUCUUCUGAAUUAUUACUUGUCGUAACUGUACAAUCUUUAAAAUAGGUAAUUUUCACAUUAUGUUUGUAUGAUUCAGUGAGAGCAAACUUUGAGUUCUUGGAAAAGCUUGGACUUGAUCGAUGGUGUUUUCAUGAUAGGGACAUUGCUCCGGAUGGUAAAACAAUUGAGGUAAGAUAUUUUACGUUCUUAUAUGUUUAUUAUACUCCAUUUUAUUUUUAGGACACAAGUAAGAGAUUGUUGUACAGAGGUCACUUGGACCGUGUUGGAUGCUUACACAAACUUAAUAGCAGAGUCGAGUCAGUAUGGCUAAAGGUUGAAAAGUUUCUUAGUUUGGUAUUCUCACUAUUGGCUUGACCAUUGUUCUGGAUAGGACGAAAUUGAUAUUAUCCAGGUAGCAAUUUCUGGAGGUAGCAAUUUCUGGAGUUCAUAAUAUAGUUAACUGGCCAAAUAUUGUUAAAUUCACUUCUUAUGGUUUUUUUGCAAUUUGGAAUUUUAUUAUCAGUAAAUUUAUCCGAAAGAGCCGUUAAUUUCACUGUUUAUGAUGCAGGAAACCAAUGCCAACUUGGAUGAAGUGGUAGCUCUUGCAAAAGAGCUUCAGGUAAUUUCUAACUGAUCAAGUAUAUAUCAUACGUUCUAUACAGUAAUCAAAAUAUAAGAUUUCAUUUUAAGCAACAAAAAAGCUGUUUUGUCAUUCUGUCUUUUUAGGCUUUUAGUCUUCUGCUUUGAGAUGGAUCUCUUGCUAGAGAAUAUGUUGUAAUGAUCAGUCUGUAUUAUUCUCUGUUCUCCCUGUUGGAUCCUUGAUAAGUAUUAAUUAUUUCGUUUUCUUCUGGUUUAAUUCUCUCUCUUAUUUCUUGUGUAACUCGUCAGGGGACGAAGAUUCGUCCUUUGUGGGGCACAGCCCAGUUGUUUCUGCAUCCUCGCUUCAUGCAUGGUGCUGCUACCAGGUAAUCAUGCUCUCUAAUGGAUUUAAUGAUCUCAAAAUUAUCAAUGAUGAGCUCAUAUUCUUUUAAUUCUUGAAGUACAGCUCUGAAUUAGGUGUAUAUGCCUAUUCUGCAGCACAAGUUAAGAAAGCCAUCGAGGUGUGUUUCUCAUUUUGGUGUUGAUAAUCCUUGAAAUUGCCUUGCCUUGUUGUUUAUUAUUAUGUGUUCAAGUGUGAGGUAUGGGACAAAAAAUCUUUACUUCAGUGGUGAGAGUAUGAAAGGGGAUACUGAUAGAUCUCACAUCUGAUGCUAUGGGUUGCAUGUGUUGGUUAAGUGCAACUGCUCUUUACAUGUCAAUUGCACUUGCCUGCUUCUGUCAAAUUGAUUUUGCUGGUUUUAAUUCUGCAGGUCACUCAUUAUCUUGGUGGGGAAAAUUAUGUUUUCUGGGGUGGUAGAGAGGGCUAUCAAACCCUUGUGAACACUGAUAUGGAAAGAGAGCUGAAUCAUUUGGUAAUUUCUUUGUCGGCCUUUUUGUGGAGCAACUGCUAAAACUUAUAUUUCUGUACAACGUCUUCAUUUUCAUCUCUUGCUAUUUUGUCUAUUAGUUUUUAUCAAACAGAUCCAGCUAAACAUUACCACAGACUAAAGAAUUUAUUCUCUUUGUGGUUAUGCAACCUAGUACAUUGUUUCAUGCCUGUAACAUUUGUUAUCUACUAGCUAAGUAUAACAAUUAGUUGGAUCUCUUCGCAGGCAAGGUUUCUUGAAGCUGCUGUUGCCUACAAGAAGAAGAUUGGUUUCAAUGGUAUUUUUCUCCAUUCACUUUGUUGAGUAUAUAUUUUAAUUUGAUUGAUUUAUGAGAUGAUGUGCUAAGGACUAGUGGUUUUGAAGUAGAAACUGUGUUUUAGCAUUCCUAUGUGCUUAUUAUCUCUUUGCCUUGACUUACCUAAUUCUUUUUCAUUAUUCACAGGGACCUUUCUCAUUGAGCCUAAGCCUCAAGAGCCUACAAAACACCAGUGCGUUUAUGUUUUAAUGUUUGAUUAUGCAUUUUAGUCCAUAAUUUUGAGCAUAUUCAUUUGUUUUGAUGGAUGGCAGGUACGAUUGGGAUGCUGCAACAUCAGCUAAUUUCUUGCGCAAAUAUGGCCUCAUAGGUGAGUUUUACGCUCUUGUAGCCCCUAUUUUACUAGUAAAUGUGCGUAUUAUUUCUCUUGGAGUGAGUGUUGAAAGUCAAAAGUCCAUUGCAUCAUCAUGCUCCAAUCUUGAUUUGUCAUUGUUUCUGGUAUCUUUUGAGAUAUCAGUGUUCUGCAAUUGUGCUUGCCCGCAUAGAAAAACUCUGUAAUUGCAGCUAAUCGAAUCAUAAAUAAGCAUCAUGUAUACCCUUGAGGACAGUGGAAGAGAUAACUUUGCUUUAUGAUGGUUCUUGUCUUGAUAUUCGCUGCUUGUACCACCUUAUGCAGAUGAAUUCAAACUGAAUAUUGAAUGCAACCAUGCCACAUUAUCUGGUCACAGGUUUGAAAAUUUCCUGAUUUCGACAUUCUAGUUGAAAUCUCCACUUUAGCUGGCUUUUCAGUUGAUUUGAAUUCCGAAGCGAACAAACGCAAUGAGUUGUUUUUACAUGCUCCUGUUUGUGUUGCAGCUGUCAUCAUGAACUUGAAACUGCUAGAAUAAAUGGUUUGCUGGGAAAUAUUGAUGCAAACAGUGGUGACCCUCAAACUGGUACAUGAAGUUCAUGAUAUCGACUUGUUCUUUUGGUCAUGGCAGAGACUUGUUUAUCCUGUGAAAAUAAUUUUUUUGCUAUAGGUUGGGACACAGAUCAAUUUCUAAUGGAUAUCCAGGAAGCAACCUUGGUUAUGCUCAGUGUUAUUAGAAAUGUAUGAACAGGAUAGUCUAUCUCUUGAACAUAUUAAAAUUGAUGGCAAAUGUUAAAUGAUCACUGUUUAACGCUUUACUGUUGAUUACAGGGAGGAUUAGCACCAGGAGGGUUCAAUUUUGAUGCCAAAUUGUUAGUUUCUUCUCCCACUUUGUUGUUUUAGUCUCAUUUCUUUUGCCAAUGCAUAUCCUGUUAAUUACCAUGGAUUUAUUUGUAAUUUUUGUCCAGUAUGUUUAGAUGGAAUGGGUGCAACUCGGUUUAGUAGUGCUUUGAAAAAAAAAUUGUAGUCAGUGCAUAAGUGGGAGACAACUCAAAUUUGUAAACUUCUUUGCACAAUUAUACGAACGAUUUUGAUAUGGUGGAAUUGAAAGUAAACCCACGCCAUUAUGGAAAAAUGCAGAAUAUAUUUGGCCUCUCUGGCCUUUAUUUCCGUGGAUGAACCUUGCCUUGCAAUGAAGAUUCUAUUUAGAAUUUUGCUUCACAAUUUUAUUCUUCGCUAUUUAUCAGGCGAAGGGAGAGCACAGAUGUUGAGGAUUUGUUCAUUGGCCACAUUGCUGGAAUGGAUACUCUUGCACGUGGUCUUCGAAAUGCUGCAAAGCUGAUUGAGGUGAUGUUUCUUACUGGAUAAUUACUUUUUUACUUUCACCUCUCCCUUUCUAAAGAUGCUUAAACUUUUUAAGCAAACAAUGACGUUUGUUUUGGGGCAUUGAUCCUGAAAACAGGAUGGCUCUUUGGAUGAAAUUAUUCGCAAGAGAUAUCAAAGUUUUGAUACAGAACUGGGAGCCCAGAUCGAGGUGACAUCUUUGGAUUAAGUUUUUAACUGAUGCUUUGACUAGUCAUCACUUUGCUUCCUUUUAUCUGAAAUGAAUUACUGAUAAUGUGUCAUAACAGGCCGGGAAGGCGGAUUUCGAACUGCUUGAGAAGAAAGCCAAGGAGUGGGGAGAACCCAAAGUUCCUUCUGCCAAGCAGGUAAGUCUUGACAAGAACAGUUCUUAUAACGACUGUUAGUGCAUUUUGCUGUUUCACUGACUGAAUUUCUUGUAAAUUGCUCUAGGAACUUGCGGAGAUGAUUCUCCAGGCUGCAUUAUAGAAGAGAGUCGUUCAACUAAAAACCACCUUUACUCAAAAAUUCUGUCCCACCUCCGGAGUUCGUCCUCCAUGCCCCUUGUUCUAGAGAAUAAUCCCUGGUGCCUUUUAGCAGCAGUACCGGGUUGUAGUGCCGAAGAGUCGAUGACACAUCUCAGCAUUAUCUUUUAUAUUUUU